rnacentral:rRNA from 1 species
UACGUAGGGUGCGAGCGUUGUCCGGAAUUAUUGGGCGUAAAGGGCUCGUAGGCGGUUUGUCGCGUCGGGAGUGAAAACUCAGGGCUUAACUCUGAGCCUGCUUCCGAUACGGGCAGACUAGAGGUAUGCAGGGGAGAACGGAAUUCCUGGUGUAGCGGUGAAAUGCGCAGAUACCAGGAGGAACACCGGUGGCGAAGGCGGUUCUCUGGGCAUUACCUGACGCUGAGGAGCGAAAGUGUGGGGAGCGAACAGG